GACGAACGCGGCGGCGUGCCUAAUACAUGCAAGUAGAACGCUGAAGGGAGAGCUUGCUCUUCUGGAUGAGUUGCGAACGGGUGAGUAACGCGUAGGUAACCUGCCUGGUAGCGGGGGAUAACUAUUGGAAACGAUAGCUAAUACCGCAUAACAUUGACUAUUGCAUGAUAGUCAAUUGAAAGGUGCAAAUGCACCACUACCAGAUGGACCUGCGUUGUAUUAGCUAGUUGGUGGGGUAACGGCUCACCAAGGCGACGAUACAUAGCCGAUCUGAGAGGGUGAUCGGCCACACUGGGACUGAGACACGGCCCAGACUCCUACGGGAGGCAGCAGUAGGGAAUCUUCGGCAAUGGACGGAAGUCUGACCGAGCAACGCCGCGUGAGUGAAGAAGGUUUUCGGAUCGUAAAGCUCUGUUGUAAGAGAAGAAACGAAGUGUGAGAAG
rnacentral:rRNA from 1 species